UCUAAUAAUUUUCCAAAAAUGUAUUGUCUUAGUCCCCUUGUUUUGAUCCCAUGUCGAUUUACGAUACUACACGAUAUCAUUUAUACAACUUUUAACUUUUCCAAUUUCCCCUCCUUUCUCCUUCGAUAUACGCUCUAUAUCGAACAGUGUUGAAAGAGAUAAAGAUAGAUCGUGCGAGUAGCGUGGAUCGAUAACGAUUAAACCGGCGUGCCAUUAGCAACGGACAAAUAGAUUGAAAAAGUUGCUUGGGACGGAGAGAGAUGGAACGGGGCGAGUAGAGGAUAUGACAAUCGUAACGAGAGAGAUAAAUGGUAAACAUUAGUGAAAGGGAUCAAGAAGAGAAGGAAGAGAAAUUCCCACUGGUGACCUUAAUCUAGGAAAUGGUCACUAAGAGGUGUCCUCCACGCGAGGGUAAGCAAAGCGAAACACGGACAAACGACCUGAGAGAUCGUUUGGUUUCGCUUUGCAAAGAAGAAGAAGAAGGAAGAAAGAAGAAAGAAGAAACCAGGGCAGAGGAAAGGAAGGGGAAAGGGAAGAGGAACGACGUGGAACGAUGAGUCAGGCGCGCGUGCGCUUCGUCGAGGGGAGGGGAAGGGGAGAGAAGGGGAGGGGGGAGCGAAGCUUUUCCGAAAUAGGGUCGUGUAAAUUCAGAAGCAGGCCCGGUAAUUCCGAGAAACGGCGCCAGUUUGCAUUAAGCCAACCGUUGUCUCGCGGAUCGGUUAUGAAACGGACGGUUAUGCGCCGCCCGCCGGAUUUACCUUGCACACAGGCGGUCGCGAAUUAAAAUCUAGUUUGCCACGACGAGCACUCCUUUCGAAUAUUUUUCUCGGUUGCCGAUACGAAUAAAAAAAAAAAAGGAACAGAUUGUCUUCGAGAGAAACGAUUUAUCGAUUCGAUUAAAUAAUUGUUAAUAACUAAUAACUUGCAAAAUAUCUUAUAUUGUCGAAAGAUUCAUUUUUAUUUCAGCGUUCGUAUAAAUUUUUUCCCGCGUUUUCUCGAAUCCCACUUUCUUGGACAAGAAUGUGAAAAGAAAAAUAAUCCUGUACAAAAUAGAUCAAAUAUAUAUAUAUUUAUAUCAAA